GGUAGGCUUGACAUAUUGUGUAUCUGUGUGGACUCGGCAGUCUGUGUGUGGGUAUGAACUGCUGAGUCAAUAAACAAACACACACAUAAUACCCACAGAUUCCAGGAACUAGAGGAAUCAGAGGCAGUGGAGUGGUGACUGAAGUCUCAAUCUGAGACAUUUAACAUGUUUAAUUGGUGGCAUGAAAAAGGGCUAAUGGAAUAUGUGCA